rnacentral:rRNA from 1 species
AGAGUUUGAUCAUGGCUCAGGACUAACGCUGGCGGUAUGCCUUAGACAUGCAAGUCGAACGAGUUUCCGGGCUUGCUCGGAAGCUAGUGGCGAACGGCUGAGUAACGCGUAGGUGACCUACCCCGUAGUGUGGAAUAACUGCCCGAAAGGGUAGCUAAUACCGCAUGUUGAGCCGACUUCACUGUCGUCUCCAAAGCAGAAAUGCGCUAUGGGCGGGGCCUGCGUUCGAUUAGCUAGUUGGUGGGGUAACGGCUCACCAAGGCGACGAUCGAUAGGUGGUCUGAGAGGACGAUCACCCAGACUGGGACUGAGACACGGCCCAGACUCCUACGGGAGGCAGCAGUCGGGAAUUUUGCGCAAUGGGGGAAACCCUGACGCAGCAAUACCGCGUGUGGGAUGAAGGCCUUCGGGUCGUAAACCACUUUUUUCGGGGACGAUAAUGACGGUACCCGAAGAAUAAGCCACGGCUAACUACGUGCCAGCAGCCGCGGUAAUACGUAGGUGGCAAGCGUUGUCCGGAUUUACUGGGCGUAAAGCGCGCGCAGGCGGUGAAUGAAGUCGAAAGUGAAAGCCCCGGGCUCAACUCGGGAACUGCUUUCGAAACCAGUUCACUUGAAGGCGGAAGAGGGAAGUGGAAUUCCGAGUGUAGUGGUGGAAUGCGUAGAUAUUAGGAGGAACACCAAUGGCGAAGGCAGGUCUCUGGGCCAUAACUGACACUGAGGAGCGAAAGUGCGGGGAGCGAACAGGAUUAGAUACCCUGGUAGUCCGCACCGUAAACGGUGGGCACUAGUUGUGGGAACCUUCCACGGUUUCCGCGACGCAGCAAACGCAUUAAGUGCCCCGCCUGGGGAGUACGAUCGCAAGAUUAAAACUCAAAGGAAUUGACGGGGCCCCGCACAAGCAGCGGAGCAUGCGGCUUAAUUCGACGCAACGCGAAGAACCUUACCAAGGCUUGACAUAUAGCGAAAAGUGGCAGAGAUGUCAUGUCCGCAAGGGCGCUAUACAGGUGGUGCAUGGUUGUCGUCAGCUCGUGUCGUGAGAUGUUGGGUUAAGUCCCGCAACGAGCGCAACCCCUACUUUUAGUUGCCAUCAGGUCAUGCUGGGCACUCUGAAAGAACUGCCAGUGAUAAGCUGGAGGAAGGUGGGGAUGACGUCAAGUCCUCAUGGCCCUUACGGGUUGGGCUACACACGUGCUACAAUGGUAGUGACAAUGAGAUGCAAGGUGGCGACGCUAAGCUAAACUCAAAAAUCUACCUCAGUUCGGAUUGCACUCUGCAACUCGAGUGCAUGAAGCUGGAAUCGCUAGUAAUCGUAGAUCAGCGUGCUACGGUGAAUACGUUCCCGGGUCUUGUACACACCGCCCGUCACACCAUGGAAGUUGGUUCUACCUUAAAGCAGAUUGCUAACCGCAAGGAGGCGUCUGACCAAGGUAUAGUCAGCGACUGGGGUGAAGUCAUAACAAGGUAGCCGUA